UUAGCUAAUACUUGACUUUCUAAUGUGCUUACCGCCGCGGUAGUUUUAAGUUUAGAUCGUUAUGAGGAGUUAUGAGUUUGAUCACUGUUCGUUAUCUUCACCUUUCAUCGUUCGCCCCGCAUGCGAAAGGCCAGGGUUCGAAUCCAAACUGUGACAGAUCUAAGUCGCUAAGACAGGUAGACAUUUCCAUCGCCAAACAUUCGGUUUCAGGUGUGAAUGGUACGAGUCCUCGGCCAUGACCUUAAAAUUGGAUGGCCCGUGUCACAGAAUGUGUGGCACGCUGAAGAACACUUAAUGUUCAAUGACCGUAAGUGCCGAGCAAAAGCCUGAAUUUGAAGCCCUUCAACGGUCUUGGUGAUGUCUCAAUGGGUGAAAAAUUCAGAUGUUAAACAAAAUACAAUCAAUCAAAUGUGACAUCCCUUUCGGAAAUUCUAGGUCCGCCAUUGACGCCUAUGGGUAGAGACAAGGUUUAUAUGUCCCAGCCCUCUCGGAGGAAGUCGUCACGUGUAGAAUUAUAUCUACACAUAAUACAGCGUGUGUUUGUACGUACAACAGCGAGAAUGGAAGCAGAAGAAACUUGCUGUGAAAACGGAAAUGGCUGCUGAAUGUGAAGGAAAGCUUAUUUUGGGAUAUUUGCAGGUACUUAGCAGAAAUGACUGUCAGGCGUCCUUACUGGUAGAAGAAAUCUGCCACUUGACCAGCAUCACUGUCCAGGUCAGCGGUCACCUCCUUACCUCUAGGCCACUCUCACAGGGGGGUUCUGACUCCUACCUAGGUAAACUCGUUUCCCUAUGAUGUGGUGCAUUUGAAGGUUUGUCUCUCAGACCCCAGGACUACAGAAAUGGUGGACAUUACCCUUACCUAGUAAGUGACCAGAUUUUAAGCACAUUUCAUUCUUUGUCGCCAUUGUAAUUAUUUCACUCAUUGAGGUGAUAUUUUUAUCACAUGAGUACAUAGUUUAUGUUGCUGAGUGCAAGAACGUCUCACCC